rnacentral:rRNA from 1 species
UACGGGGGGGGCAAGCGUUGUUCGGAAUUACUGGGCGUAAAGGGCUUGUAGGUGGCCAACUAAGUCAGACAUGAAAUCCCUCGGCUUAACCGGGGAACUGCGUCUGAUACUGGAUGGCUUGAGUUCGGGAGAGGGAUGCGGAAUUCCAGGUGUAGCGGUGAAAUGCGUAGAUAUCUGGAGGAACACCGGUGGCGAAGGCGGCAUCCUGGACCGACACUGACGCUGAGGAGCGAAAGCCAGGGGAGCAAACGGG